rnacentral:rRNA from 1 species
AAUCAACGCUGGCGGCGUGCCUCAGACAUGCAAGUCGAACGAUUAAAGCUCCCUUCGGGGAGUGCAUAAAGUGGCGCACGGGUGAGUAACACGUAAGUAAUCUACCUUCGAGUGGGGAAUAACCCGGGGAAACCCGAGCUAAUACCGCAUAAUGCAGCGGCACCUAAUGGUGACAGUUGUUAAAGGAGCAAUCCGCUUGAAGAGGAGCUCGCGGCAGAUUAGCUAGUUGGUAAGGUAAUGGCUUACCAAGGCUACGAUCUGUAUCCGGUCUAAGAGGACGGUCGGACACACUGAAACUGAAUAACGGGUCAGACUCCUACGGGAGGCAGCAGUCGGGAAUUUUGGGCAAUGGGGGAAACCCUGACCCAGCAACGCCGCGUGAAGGAUGAAGUAUUUCGGUAUGUAAACUUCGAAAGAAUAGGAAGAAUUAAUGACGGUACUAUUUAUAAGGUCCGGCUAACUACGUGCCAGCCGCCGCGGUAAAAC